CUAACAUGUGCGCGAGCCGCGGGGCAGUACGAAACCCGUAAGGCGAAAUGAAGGUGAACGCCGGCGCGGUCCGGCGGAGGUUGGAUCCCGUCCCGUCGGGGCGGGCGCACUACCGGCCGAUCUUCUCCGCCCUGUCGGCGAGGUCGAGCGAGAGCGUGCAAGUCGGGACCCGAAAGAUGGUGAACUAUGCCUGAGGAGGUUGAAGCCAGAGGAAACUCUGGUGGAGGACCGUAGCGAUUCUGACGUGCAAAAUUCUCUGUGAUAAUCAGGCAUUACACGAAAAGAUUGAUUUAGAGCGG
rnacentral:ncRNA from 1 species